rnacentral:rRNA from 1 species
UACGUAGGGUGCAAGCGUUAAUCGGGAAUUACUGGGCGUAAAGCGUGCGCAGGCGGUUUUGUAAGUCUGACGUGAAAUCCCCGGGCUUAACCUGGGAAUUGCGUUGGAGACUGCAAGGCUGGAGUCUGGCAGAGGGGGUAGAAUUCCACGUGUAGCAGUGAAAUGCGUAGAGAUGUGGAGGAACACCGAUGGCGAAGGCAGCCCCUGGGUCAAGACUGACGCUCAUGCACGA